CUCUGUUGCCCAGGCUGGAGUGCAGUGGUAUGAUCUCGGCUCACUGCAGGCUCAACCUCCUGGGCUCAAGCAAUCCUCCCACCUCAGUCUCCAGAGUAGAGAUGAAGUUUUGCCAUAUUGCCCCAGACUGGUCUCAAACUUCUGAGCUCAAGCAAUCUGCCUGAUUCAGCCUCCCAAAGUGCUGAGAUUCCAGGUGUGAGCCAUUACACCUGGAAAAAAGAGGCUGCCUUUUUCAUCUCUCCUGUUUUCGAGAUUUUUGAUGCUGCCAUGCCCUCUCCCAUUUUUUUGCCCCUAUGGUUUAUACCUUUAAGACAAAGUUCAUUGUCUUUUGUUUUAAUGAGGAGCUGGAAGAGAACAAAAGAAGAAAGCACAUGUGUUUAACGCUAUCUAUCUGGUGAGAGUUCAAGAUUUCAACAUUUUAAGAUAAUCUGAAAAAAAUUGGAAUGUGCCCCCAGCUGCGUGAGUAACUAAAGAUAACAGUAACCAAGUCUCAUUGGAUGACCCAGUUCAGCUAAAAGCUUCUCUUACAGAUGAUGCUAUAUUCUUGAGAGGAGCUUAGAGUGACUGUGUGGUUCACAAACUGUGCAAAUCAAAAUGUAAAUUCUUAGCUUAUCUAAUAAUUGAUUUAUUGUGUAAGGUACAAUAAAUGGUUUAACCACUCUGAAAUUUAUUUUCAAAAUAAAAUGAACUCUAGAUGUAUUCCUAACAGAUGCAGAGAAACUCACACUAGGAUGCCUUGAGGUUUUCUGAGAUGUUUAUUUAUCCUUUGUUUCAAUAGUGAGAACUAAUUAGAAUAAAAUAAAAUUAAUGAGAGCUAAUUAGAAUAAAGAUAAGAUUGAUUAUUUCUACUUCCAGUUAAAACUAAAGAUGCAGAAUCAAUUUUAUGGAAAAAAAGGUUGCCAGGUUUUACUAAAUUCAAGGCUGUUUUUUUCCCUCUAUUUGUUUAGGAUAAACAUAGGCUUCUUCCUGCAUGUCAAUACAAUACUACAUUUGGCAAGUGUCUCCUGUUUCCAGAUGAUCCCGGCAGUUCAUUGUUCGGGAUAUUGAUUUUAAUUAGCACAAGUGGAUCAGCAGCUCUCACUUCAGUUGAUCUGAAAAUCAACAUCUCUAGAUGCUUUUCCUCUGCUCUUCCUUCCUUCAGAAGAGGAAACGCAGUUUUUCAUGUUUGAAAAUCAAUAGAAUAAUUGCAGGCCAAUAACUCUAUGCCAGCAGAACUCAUCUGUGAACAACCAAAAGAAAGAAGCCAAAAGAAUGGUUGAUUCAUUUUUGUUGUAAUAUACAAUUACUUAGAGCACUGUUCCUAUAGAGGAGAUCUAGUCAGAAAAGAAUUAAAUCACUCCUUCCAACAAAAUUGCUUAUGCAGGUAAAUAGAAACCAAAAGUCAGUGUAUGAUAAAGAAGAAAGCUACCAUUUGAGGAAGAAAAGCCCAGGUAGUGGGUCUGAGAAGUUACAAACAUUUAGUACUGCCAGCAACAUCAGUUGGCUCUCUUGGUAGUUUUCCACGGAGGUUUUACAUUCAGCUUUUGCCUACUGACAUGACCUGAACUUGCCUUGAAUUUCCUUUCACUGAGCACUGGGGAUUACAUAUUUUUCCAAAUGCAACGGUCUAAAUAUUAAGUAAAUUUCAAACUUCAGAUGAAAAUUUUUAGAAGGGUAGGUGGAACCUAUUUUGAAGGUCUCUUUUAAUCUUCCAAUUAAUUUCAUGAGUUUAUUGCUUAGAACUUGAUCCUAGAGAUUAUCUUGUAAAAAGCUUAUAAUUUUCUUUCUAGGAUAAGAGAAUCUCUCAGGAGGCUGAAUUUAAUAAAUUAUGUUGUCGAAAUGUCAUCAAUAAGCAAACACCAAUUCAAUGUCUUUCUAAUCAAACUCAUAGCAAUAGCAGAAUGGUGGUUUCUAGGAACAAGAAAAGGUAGGGAGUUGAUAAGUAGAUGUAAAGUUUCAGUUAUGCAGAAUGGGCGUGGGAAGAGCUUUUAGAAAUCUGUUGCACAAAAAUGUGCAUAUGGUUCUAUCCAAGUCUCUGUGUGUGUGUGUGUGUGUGUGCAUAUGUGUUUGUAAAAAUUUUUUGGUCAGUGACUUAAAUGAGGACAGAAAUACUAUGUUUGGCAAACUGACAAACUUACUGAAUAAGUGGUCAUUGUGAUAACAUGAAGGCAGAGGAAAAAAUACGUUAAAAAUGGCUUUAAAGUUAUGAUAAACAGAUCUAACAAGACAAAAUGUAAUAAACUAAAUAUUUAUCAAAUAUAAACACAUAAACAUAAGCAAAAUACAAAAUAUAUUUCUAUAUUUUAUGCAAUAUGGUUAUAUAAUAUAUAAAUAAUGUGUAAAUGUUAUAUAUUAAUAAAAUAACAUAAAAAUAAUACAUAAAUAUAUAAUCAAGCAUAAAAAUGUAAAUAUAUAAAGACAAAAUCCUUCCCAUCAACAAUCCCAGGUUCAGGAUAGAUGCUUAUGGCUAAGUAGUCCUUAUGUGAAAAGCAAUCUGAUUUUGUAGUUGCCAUCAAAACUUAUAUGAGUAAUGUGAUGAGGCUGGGCCAAUAAUUAAUGAGCUGAGCUACACACAUAAAAUUUUAGAGUCCAGAACAAGGAAAUAAUUUUUUUUUCUCGCACUGAAUUAUGUACAUGCUAGAGGACCACUGAAUUUGUAUGUACAUUUCAGGGAGACAUACCUACAAGGAUGUUUGGCAAACUUUAAUAUUAAAAAGACAGAGAAACAGAAAAAUGUAGAUGAUUUGGUGUGAAGAAGUAAGCCUUCAAAAUUAAAAGAUAUACUUGAGAGACUUUCUUAAAGAUCACUGGGUUUGUAAAUGCUGAGAAUUAGAUAAAUUCCUUUGCAGUUCUAUAGAACAGAAUGGAAAUAAAAAGUAUAAAAUUAUAUCAGCAAAUAGAUGCUAUGGUUCUAUCUACAUCACCAGUUUUGGCAAAGAAGAGGUGCUAUGGUUUGAAUGUGUCCCCCAAAAAGCAUGUUUUUGAAAUGUAAUCCCCAAUGCCACAGGGUUGGGAGGUGUGUUUUUGAAACUUAAUCCCCAAUGCCACCCUAAUGGAAGGUGUUUAGAUCAAGAGGACUCCAUCCUCAUGAAAAGAUUAAUGCUAACUAUAAAAGGGCUUGAGGCUUCAACUUCUAUCUCUUACUCUCCCUUUCCUUCUCUUUGCCCUUCUACCAUGUGAUGAUGCAGCAGGAAGGUCCUUAGUAGAUGCCAGCCCCUCAAUCUUGGACUUUCCAGCCCCCAGAACCAAUAAAUCUCUGUUCAUUAUCAAUUAUCAAGUCUCAGUUGUUCUGUUGUAGCACCACAAAAUGGACUAAGACAAAAAGAAAAGGUUUAUGUAAGAGAUGUACAGUGCCUGACACCUGAAAGCCACUCAAUGCAUGGUAGUAGCUAUUGUUGUUAUUAUAAUCACUUUGUUUAUUUGAGGAAAGGGGGUGAGUAUUAUCUCUCAGACCCUUCUCAUCAAUUCUCUUACUUCUCUGAACAUAAAUUUAAUAUGAUUAAGGCUUCUUCAAUUAAUUGUUUAUAUAUAUAUAAUUCUUAAAUUCAUAUUGUAUGGCAAUGAAGUAGAUGAAGACAAUUGUUUAGAAAGCCAAUAAGAAUAAAAUUUACUGCUGCAACUAUGGUAAUCACAGAACUUUUCCCAAUGAUAUUUGUCCCAAGAUACACUGCUCCUUAUUCACUUGUCCAUUAGAGACUCUAGCUGAAAAGCAAUUAAUCAGAUUUUUUCAGAUGAGAAGUUCUAUUUUCAUUAUUCCUGUAUUCCUGAAUUUAUUUUUGGGAGCUAUUUUAGACAUUUUAAAUUGAAGUUUCUUUAUUAAACUAAAUACUUGACAAGCCAGCACAAAGCAAAUUUGUCAUGUUUGUUUAUGGAACCUAGUAAUACUGGGACUCUGGUGGCUAUGUAUUUCUGAUGGAAAAGAUAACUGAACCAUUCUACAAUUGGGUAGUAAAUGAUUAUAAUAGUUUUAUCAUCCUGUAAUAAUUGCCUUGUAUUAAAGUGUUUCCUGAGUCAUUAAAUCUCAAGGAUAUCUAUUUGGUCAUGUUUUCUUGUGGUAUUUCAAGGCUACUGGUGACUUCUUCAACAGUUGAGAAACUGAACUAUGUGUUCAUGAAAAUACUCCAUCAUUAAAGUUUAUGCAAUACUCUCUCAACACUGUUUAUCAAAGGAACCAAUAUGGAAGGAAAAACAUUGCUUUGAAGGGAAGAUGGAUGGAUCCCCUAGUAAACUACAGCUUGAGGUGCAAUUUCCUAAAGUUCAAAUGCCUGAAAAAGGAAACGAAAGAAAGAAACUCAACUCUUGAGACAGCUUCAAUGCUAGCUUUGAUCUCAAUUAUAGAGUUAUUUAUGAAAAGUGCAUUUUUACAACUAAAAAUAAAUUAGGAUCAAAAGCUUCUAGAGGCUAUACUAUGGAGUGCUUAAUAAAAAGU
ensembl:lncRNA novel transcript